GCACAAGCGGUGGAGCAUGUGGUUUAAUUCGAUGGUACGCGAGAAACCUUACCAGGGCUUGACAUACGCUGGAAGCGGUCCGAAAGGAUCGUGCCGCUUGCGGCCGGCGUACAGGUGCUGCAUGGCUGUCGUCAGCUCGUGCUGUGAAGUGUUGGGUUAAGUCCCGCAACGAGCGCAACCCCUGCUGUCUGUUGCCACCACGAGAGGUGGGGACUCAGGCGGAACUGCCGGUGACAAACCGGAGGAAGGUGGGGGCGACGUCAAGUCAUCAUGGCCCUUACGGCCUGGGCUACACACGUGCUACAAUGGUCGGUACAAAGGGUUGCCAAGCCGCGAGGUGGAGCUAAUCCCAUAAAACCGAUCGUAGUCCGGAUCGCAGUCUGCAACUCGACUGCGUGAAGUCGGAAUCGCUAGUAAUCGUGGAUCAGCCAAGCCGCGGUGAAUACGUUCCCGGGCCUU
rnacentral:rRNA from 1 species